AGCAGCCGCGGUAAUUCCAGCUCCAAUAGCGUAUAUUAAAGUUGUUGCAGUUAAAAAGCUCGUAGUUGAAUUUCGGGAUCAAGUCGUCGGUCGUGCUCAGGUACGUACUGGCGUCAUUGAUUUCUCCCUUCUGACGAACCAUGAUGUCAUUAACUUGGUGUCAUGGGAAAUCAGGACUGUUACUUUGAAAAAAUUAGAGUGUUUAAAGCAAGCUAACGCUUGAAUACAUUAGCAUGGAAUAAUGAAAUAGGACGUUUGAUCCUAUUUUGUUGGUUUCUAGGAUCGACGUAAUGACUAAUAGGGAUAGUUGGGGGCAUUAGUAUUCAAUUGUCAGAGGUGAAAUUCUUGGAUUUAUUGAAGACUAACUACUGCGAAAGCAUUUGCCAAGGAUGUUUUCAUUAAUCAAGAACGAAAGUUAGGGGAUCGAAGACGAUCAGAUACCGUCGUAGUCUUAACCAUAAACUAUGCCGACUAGGGAUCGGAUGAUGUUAAUUUUUAAUGA
rnacentral:rRNA from 1 species